rnacentral:snRNA from 1 species
GUGGUCUUUUUGGCAGCACAUAUAUUAAAAUUAGAAUGAUAGAAGAUUAGCGUGCCCACCCUCUCCUGCCAAUGAUGACAUGCAAAUUUGUGAUGCAUUCUAUAUUUAA